rnacentral:sRNA from 1 species
UACUAGCCCCGAUAGUAGUGAAAAUCCCAUGCUUUUUAGCGUGGAUUGUAACGAAUAGCGGGAAUAGCU